UACGAAGGGGGCUAGCGUUGCUCGGAAUCACUGGGCGUAAAGGGUGCGUAGGCGGGUCUUUAAGUCAGGGGUGAAAUCCUGGAGCUCAACUCCAGAACUGCCUUUGAUACUGAAGAUCUUGAGUUCGGGAGAGGUGAGUGGAACUGCGAGUGUAGAGGUGAAAUUCGUAGAUAUUCGCAAGAACACCAGUGGCGAAGGCGGCUCACUGGCCCGAUACUGACGCUGAGGAGCGAAAGCCAGGGGAGCGAACGGA
rnacentral:rRNA from 1 species